GACGAACGCUGGCGGCGUGCCUAAUACAUGCAAGUAGGACGCAGUUGCGAACGGGUGAGUAACGCGUAGGUAACUGACUAUUAGAGGGGGAUAACUAUUGGAAACAAUAGCUAAUACCGCAUACUCGUAGAAUGACCAUCGUUGUAUUAGCUAGGAGGUAGGGUAAAGGCCUACCUAGGCAAAGAUACAUAGCCGAGCGGGUGAGUGGAUCGGCUCCCCGUGGACUUAGAAACGGCCCAGACUCCUACGGUGGGCAGCAGUAGGGGAUCUUCGGCAAUGGGGGGAACCCUGACCGCGCAAAGCCGCGGUAGUGAAUAAGGUUUUCGGAUUUUAAAGCUCUGUUGUUAAGGAAGCGGUACUUAACCAGAAAGGGACGGCUAACUACGUGCCAGCAGCCGCGGUAAUUC
rnacentral:rRNA from 1 species